GUGUUGCUUCGGCAGCACAUAUACUAAAAUUAGAAGGAUGCAGAGAAGAUUAACACAGCCCUUGUGCAAGGGUGACAUGCAAAUUCGUCAAGCAUGAAAAUCCUGA